GAGGUGUCUGGAGCCUGCCUGGAGGGGUGGGCGUUGGGAUAUCAGUAGGCUGCGUGAGUAUGGGAGAACUGGGAGAAGCAAGGGCUGGGGCAGCAGCAGGCUGGAGGGAAGAAGCCUAGAGUAGGCAGUUCAGUUGGGGAGGAGGAGUAGUAUUGAUGCCUGUUGGGAACUGCGUGGCCUGGAUUCACUGAAGUUGUUGUAUGGGGAAAGAACAAUCAGAAUGGGAGCAGGCGAGAGAAAAGCUGAGGAGUUGAUGAAUCAUGGUCUUGAGGAAGUUUUGGGACUUGAUUUGAGACAGUCAUUUGAUAUGAAAAAAAACAUGGGGCGGGGUGAAGUAUGUAAGCAGACCAACCUCUGAGUCAUGGAGGUUGACUGGCUAGCUCCUAGAAGGUGGCAGUCUAGAAGUUAUCUGCCUGUAGUGAGAGUGUAAAGGAGCAGUUUCUGUUGAAAGUCGAGCUGCUGAAGAGAUUUUGUUAGCAUGCUAAAGAGAUGGGUGUGCUGUUGGGUUGUUAGGAAACAGGAGAACCUUGACUGUUCCCAUCGUGUUGGCAACAGCCUUGCUACUGAAUGGUUUGGGUCAUAAUGAUGUGUUCUUAAGCAUAGGAAGACAAGGAUGGAAGAGGUCUCCAGUACAGUGGCAGAGUAAUAGGAUGAUUUGCUGCAACUCUGAAUGGCUUUGCAGUGAUUUUUGCUCAUGUGGAUGCUUUACAGAGAACUUUCUUCCCUCAAGAGAAACCAUGCCAUUUUUGGGCCAAGACUGGAGAUCCCCUGGAUGGAGAUGGGUUAAAACAGAAGAUGGAUGGAAACAAUGUGAAUCCUUCAGUCCUGCAAUUGAGGAUGGGAAUAGUCAGCUGAAUGAUAUCAGUCACACUGUCAUCUUAACUGGUGAUGAUGAAGAUGAAGAGAUAUACAGUACUGAAGAUUGUGAGUUGGCAGCCAAGAAACGGAAAAAAGAUCAUUUUAGGAAUAACACAGAUUCACAAUGUUUUUAUCGUGAAAAGUGGAUUUAUGUUCAUAAAGAAAGCACCAGGGAAAGACAUGGCUAUUGCACUUUGGGAGAAGCUUUUAAUCGCUUAGACUUUUCAAGUGCAAUUCAGGACAUCAGAAGGUUCAAUUAUGUGGUCAAACUUUUGCAGUUAAUUGCAAAAUCCCAAUUAACUUCACUGAGUGGUGCAGCACAGAAGAACUACUUCAACAUUUUGGACAAAAUUGUGCGAAAGGUCAUGGAAGACCAAUAUAAUCCACGAUUAAUCAAAGAUCUUCUACAGGAUUUGAGUUCUACUCUCUGUAUACUGAUCAGGGGAGUAGGAAAAUCUGUGUUGGUAGGGAACAUCAAUAUUUGGAUUUGCCGAUUAGAAACUAUCCUUCUGUGGCAACAACAACUAAAAAACCUUCAGAUGAACAAGCAAGUCAACAAUGGUCUUACGCUUAGCGAUCUCCCUCUCCAUAUGCUGAAUAACAUCUUAUACAGGUUCUCUGAUGGCUGGGACAUUAUUACUCUGGGUCAAGUGACCCCAACUUUGUACAUGCUUAGUGAAGACAGACAGCUGUGGAAAAAACUCUGCCAGUACCAUUUCGCGGAAAAGCAGUUUUGUAGGCAUUUGAUUCCGUCAGAGAAGGGUCACAUUGACUGGAAGCUGAUGUACUUCGCACUUCAGAAAUAUUACCCAAUAAAGGAACAGUAUGGGGACACCUUGCAUUUCUGUCGACACUGUAGUAUUCUGUUUUGGAAGGAUACAGGACACCCCUGCACAGCCAGUGAUCCAAACACCUGUCUCAUGCCAGUAUCUCCUCAGCAUUUCAUCGAUCUCUUCAAAUUUUGAGAUGUUCAGUAGCUGUUCUCCUGUGUUUGUGGCCAUUUUUGUGAAGAGUCAGGCAGGAUACUUUUUGCUUUUUGUGCAAUAUAUUUAAGUGUAAUGUUUUGUUGUAGUUAAAAAAAAAAGAUAUGGGGGAGAUUAUUAGACAGGCUUAUUCGGUGUAUUGUUUUUGUGCAGAAGAGAGCUGAGGAGAAGGAGAACAAUAAGAAAAUUUCUUUGUCAGGAAAUCUGCAGUGGAUUUCUCAACUCCAAGAAAGACCGUUUUAAUCUCAACUUUACAUCCAUUCUUUUGACGCCUUAAUAGUUGGUUGAAAUUAUGUGGGGGAGUUUUGAAAAUUUCAUGGAAGAGUUAAACUACUCUUACAGGCACCAAAGGAGGGUUUUUUGUUAAUCCCUCUUUCUUUAAGCCACUGUUUUCAAAACACCUCCAUAUAAUUUGCACUGUUACAAACAACAGGCCAAUAUUCUCUUGGACUCUUAAUAUAUCAGUUACCAAGGUGGCAUUAAUCAUUGUGAGCUAGUGAAUAAAAUGUAGCUGUGGUUAUAUCUGUUGUUGAACCUAUGAAUGAAGGAAAUCAACCAGUCCUUGUACAUACAUUAUGCAAAAGUAUUUAUUUUUCUUAAGGACUUUAUUAAACAUAUAACCUAUCUCAGCACAUCCUGCAUAACUCAAGAGACAGAUCUGGGACUAUGGGAAAGUGAUUUUUUUUUUUUUUUUUUUAAAUGGUAGCUACAGCCUUCAUUUAUACUGUUUGAUAUGUCUACAAAUGCAACUGCAUUCAUUCAUCUUCUAAGAAGAAGACGUUACUGAAGUUUAAUGAGAAUGGAGUUGCUUGUUUCUAGACUGGUACGGUGGCAAGACAUUGUACUACCAGCUGAGGUUCUAACCUGACAAGUCUUUACAAGCUAUGGAAAACACUGAAAGUCAGUCUGAGCUGAAGCACCUUCUGCCGAGUUAAUCAGAUGAUAAAUUCUCCAGGAAGCUAUUUUAUUCUGUCCUGUGGAACAAAAUUAAUUGCUUGGCCUAGGCAGUUAAGGUGUCUGCUGUGGCUAUGGUAAUGAUCAGGUGUGGAGCCGAUGACAUCCAUUCUUACUCCUCUUCAUUCAGAACAUUGCUGCAAGCCUCACUUUCCCAGCCCAACCACUGCUCUAGCCACUGGAUUUAAGGAACCAGCAGCUCUUCUUUAACAAGGGCUUGCACCCCUUUUAUUUAACUAACAAAAUGGUUACGGACUUGCUUUCAUGUCUACGUGACCCUGCAUGACCUGGGUAGCCUUGACAGUGGCUGGUGGUGGCUGGCAUCCAUUGAUCACUCCUUUAACAGUUACAGUUUUGCUGCCCUUCGUGAAACUUCCUGUAAAUAUCUAUAUGGAUGCCACCUGCUCUUUGAGAGCUUUAAAGAAAGGUUCUGAAGCCAGCAUUUGGUUUAAUAUGGGGCUGAGCUCUUCACCUGUCAUGCUGACUGAAGGUCUCCCAUCAGGGAGUGCAAGGAACCAUCCCUCCUGCAGACAGAAUGCAAGCUUUCAAGGGGCACACCAUUACCUAAGAAGCUGCCCAUUACUGAAGGUGCAAAUAAUGUUGAGAAUUGGAGAAAGGUAUUAAGAGAUCCAAGAGGGACCUCUCCUAGCCUCUAAACUGAGGAGAGAGAGAGGUGACUUACAAAAGGCUUGUAAAAAGUUAAAGGUUUGGAAGAAUCAGUAUCCAUAAUAACUAAUUUUCAUAUCUCUUACAAAUGUCCUUUCCCUUUCACCAUUUGCUGUCUUGCUUGCUCUUCUGUAGCAAACAGCCUCUGCCCAGCUGAAGGAUGGGUUCCGAGAUGUUGUCCGGUGUAGGCCACAAGCAUGCCUUCCCCUGGCAGUAGCCAAGAUGACAAGAAGCAGGACUCCAGCUGGUAGCCCUGUGGGCUUCACUCUAUAAUCACAGAAGGGUUGAGGGUGGAAGAGACCUCUGCAGGGAACCCCCUGCUCGAGCAGGGCCAUCCAGACCCAGUUGCCCAGGACCAUGUCCACAUGGGUUUUGAGUAUCUCCAAGGAAGGAGACUCUACAGCCUCCCUAGGCAACCUGUAUCAGUGCUUGCUCACCCUCGCAGUAACAAAGUGUUUCCUGGUGCUCAGAGGGAACCUCCUGUGUUUUGGUUUGUGCCCAUUGCCUUCUGGUCCUGUCA